UACGUAGGGUGCGAGCGUUGUCCGGAAUUACUGGGCGUAAAGAGCUCGUAGGUGGUUUGUCGCGUUGUUCGUGAAAACCGGGGGCUUAACCCUCGGCGUGCGGGCGAUACGGGCAGACUUGAGUACUGCAGGGGAGACUGGAAUUCCUGGUGUAGCGGUGGAAUGCGCAGAUAUCAGGAGGAACACCGGUGGCGAAGGCGGGUCUCUGGGCAGUAACUGACGCUGAGGAGCGAAAGCAUGGGGAGCAAACAGG
rnacentral:rRNA from 1 species